CUCAAAUGCAUGUACCCGCAAAAAGAAACACACAAAGAAACACGCACAUGCAAUGCACACCCUGCUUUUUCUGCGUGAGAACAGCUUCCACUCAUAAACUAUUCAUGCAUGUAGAAAGGGAGAUAAAGAGCAUGUUCACGUAAAUCAAUCCUCUAAGCCAACGUACAGAUGGUGCUCCAAGGAGCGAGGAGGAAAAGGUGGGAGCCUUCAAAGGAAGCUUUUUUUUCCCCCCUCGAAAGCGAGCAAUAUGUUUGGAUAAGAAUAGAACCGCAUGACUUUGAAAUAGCACCUUUUCACUGCGCAUCUGUUUACCUUGAAAGUGUUUCUCCUGCAUUCUCACACUUGACUUGGUGACUUCAUCACUUCCCUGCGGGGCCGGGAAUACAUAAGUGAGUCAUGACGCUCAGCGGGAUUUCUCUCUGCACGCGAGCAGCAACUGGUAAGGGAGGGUCUAAGCUUGACCGGUCAUAUCUGCACUGUAAAAAAAGUAUGUUGAUUUUACAUUAAUAAACUGUUAAAUCGCAACGGUAAAAGACCCUUGAUUAAAAAUAGGUAAUCUUCUGUUUCUAUCACAUUGAAAUACCGUAUAUGUAUAUAUCAGCGCAAACCGUAAUUAAUGCAUCUAUUUCUUGUAAGAAAUACAUUUGAUUUGAGUUACAUUUGAGUUAAUUGUACUAAACAGUGUACCGAUAACGGAAAUACACCGUAUUAUGAAAAACACUGUGUACCGCAAUUUUUACAUUUAUAACUCAGGGAUAAAUGUGUCCCUGUUAAAUGUACGGGCUACUGUGCUGGCAACCGAAAUAUAACGUAUUUUAAAUGCCCUGUUAUUUUUGCAUUGAUUAUUUGUAAAGGAUACAGUUGGUCACUGUUAAUUGCACUAAAAAUUGUACUGAUGACGGUAAUCCACCGUAAUAUGACCGUUUUUGCAUGUAUUACUAUUUAAAAAUACAUUUUGUUACUGUUAAAUGUACGGACUAUUUUGCUGCAAGUGGAAAUAUAACGUAUUAUGGCAUUCACAGCAGGUCCAGUAUUUUUUGCAUUUAUUAUUUGUACAAACUACAGUUUAUAAUUGUUAAUUGCAAUGACGUUUGUACUGAUAAUGGAAAUACAUCGUAAUAUGAACAACAAUCCAUACCGUAGUUUUUAGAUGUAUUACUCCUUAAAAAUAAAUUGCGUUACUGUAAAUUAUACGGAAUAUUUAAUUGCGAAUGGAAAUAUAACGUAUUGUGAAUUUAACAGCCAGUCCUGUAGUCUUUGCAUUUAUUAUUUGUGCAAAAUACAGUUUAUAACUGUUAAUUGCACAAAAUAUUGUACUGAAUAUAUAUAACAGGCAAUACUGCAAUUUUUACAAAGAUUAUCUGUGAAAAAACACAUUUAGUCAAGGUUACAUUUACCACUGUACUGAUUACAGAAAUACUAAUAUAAAUAGCAGUUAGUCACCACUGUUAGUGUACUAACCGUUGUGCUAAUAACAUAAAUAUACCGUGGGGAAGUUGACAUGGGUAUAUUAACCAAUUCGAUUUUUUAUGGAAAGGCUGGGAAAGAGAGACAGAGAAAGGGAGACAAAUUGAGGGAUAUAGAGAGACAGAAGGAAAGAGAGAGACACGACAGGAGGGCAGAAGUGUGGCUGUGUUAAAAAAAAAACAACGUUCGAAGAUUGAACUUUUCAACUCCACUUCAGAGCCAUUUCUACGCACUCUGCAUUGCUGGAACAACGGCCUGACUGACUCCAGGCUACAUUUCUUCUUGAGGUAACUUGCCUACAUAAUCAUCUGAGCUAUAUUUUAAUUUGAUGCUUUGUUUUCUACAAUUUUGCAUCACUGUUGCAAAAACGUUGUUCUGCACUGAAUGUUAGCUAGCUAGCUAACAUUAGUUUACCAAACGUUGGCUAAGGAAAUGUUUGAAUACAAUUACUGUGGCAGGUCGGUUAAAACACCGAGGGGUUAUGUGCUUCAUUGCAACCUUCAUAGAAAUGAACCACGUUGUUUGUUUAAGUGCGUUGAAGCUGGUUGCAAAAAGACCUUUGUUCGAUAUGGAGCAUUUAAGGCUCAUUUCUACCGGACACAUAUCGUUAACUUAUCAGCUUCUGUGAACGUUACUGUCGGGACAGCUCUCAAAUGCGGUGUGGCGUUAUGUGAAAGUCAGUGUCGAAAUACAAAACAGCUAAUCGCUCAUUUGAAGGAGCAUCUCUUGGAAGGACGCGCUGUGAGUUAUCCAGUGAGUGGAUGUAAAAACGUUUUCAUGGUCAAAUUCCCAUUCACCGCUCACAAGUCGCACAAAAUGUAUACAAAAAUGUAUAAUUGAUGGGAUUAAUUAGAUGUGCAGUUAUCCUGGUUGUUAAAAAAUGAACCACAUGAAACGUGAAGACAAGUCUUGAUUGAGUCUUGAGAGUGAAUGUCAUAGUGUCAGUCCAGCAGUUCCCCUGUGUUUGUUUGCUUUGCCUGUGUUUCCCCUGUCUCUGCAAGGAGCUGUGGUCUCCUCCUGUUUAUUCCCGAAGGACGUGGCUGGAACAGCUGACUGCAAUCAGCCAUCAGGGGACUCUCCUACAUCAACCCGGGUCUUCCUGCCAUUCAGCGCCAGAUCGUUCUGUCGUCAGAGUGACAACUAUAGAGGAUCAUCCCAAUCCGCAGUGAACACCUGAGGAUACAAGUCUUCAAGCAGAAGGUCCAGAACUGCUCCACUUUCUGGAUGUUGAUUUACCAUCAGCUUUAUUUAAUAUUUCCUGAUGUUGACUGAAAUAUGAUAUGCAAAAUAUUUUUUGCAAUGGAUUUCUGGCAAAUACAGUUGCUGGCAAUUUGCUUUGAACUUUGUAAUAAAAUACCGUAACUCGUACAGUUGUACUGUGUUUAUCUCUGAGAAAGACCUUAAUUAGGUACAAAAUGAAUGCUGUUUUUAAAAAACAUACCGUAUUGUCUUAUACAAACAAAACGGUAAUUUACCGUAUAUUUCACAGGUUUUUUUUUACGGUGUAUCUUUUUUUAAUAGUGGUUUUCUCUAAACAAAACUGUUCUCUGGGAAUGUUACGGGUGCAAAAAACAUACUGUAAUGUCUUAUACGGC
ensembl:lncRNA